UACAGAGGUCCCGAGCGUUGUUCGGAUUCAUUGGGCGUAAAGGGUGCGUAGGCGGUUUGGUAAGUCUUAUGUGAAAUCUACAGGCUCAACUUGUAGUCUGCAUGAGAAACUGCCGGGCUUGAGUAUGGGAGAGGUGAGUGGAAUUCCUGGUGUAGCGGUGGAAUGCGCAGAUAUCAGGAGGAACACCGGUGGCGAAGGCGGGUCUCUGGGCCGUAACUGACGCUGAGGAGCGAAAGCGUGGGGAGCGAACAGG
rnacentral:rRNA from 1 species